GAUGAACGCUGGCGGCGUGCUUAACACAUGCAAGUCGAACGUGAGGGUGUAGCAAUAUGCCUGAAAGUGGCGAACGGGUGAGUAACACGUAGAUGACCUGCCCUGGAGUGGGGGAUACCCAUUGGAAACGGUGGCUAAUACCGCAUACAUCCAGAAGAUUGGGAAAUUUUCUGGGGAAAGCUCUGGUGCUCUGGGAGGGGUCUGCGUCCGAUUAGCUAGUUGGUGAGGUAAAGGCUCACCAAGGCGACGAUCGGUAGCUGGUCUGAGAGGACGAUCAGCCAAACGGGAACUGAGACACGGUCCCGACUCCUACGGGGGGCAGCAGUGAGGAAUAUUGGGCAAUGGGCGAGAGCCUGACCCAGCAACGCCGCGUGGAGGAAGACGGCCUUCGGGUUGUAAACUCCUUUUGACAGGGAAGAGAGAGGACGGUACCUGUCGAAUAAGUCACGGCUAACUACGUGCCAGCAGCCGCGGUAACAC
rnacentral:rRNA from 1 species